rnacentral:misc_RNA from 1 species
AACCGCUUCUGGGCACUGUCUUUAAGGUACCCAGUCUUCAUCAACUACUCACCCACCUCCAUCAAAAACCAGCGCGGUGACCUGCAGAGGAUCACUUGCACUCUGAUGCCGCCACAUAGCCGCCCGCGAGUCCUUACCGAUGUGGCGGAAGCGGCCUACAUGGGCUCUCAGGCCCUGGCACCCCACACGACAAGCACGGCUACCUUCAAACUGGCGCGCACAGCGAUGCUUCCGAAGCACCGUUCUCGCCGUCUGUGUCGUUGCAACCGUUCUGCUCCUCAUGGUGCAUCGCCCGCCCACCUGUGCCACUGUUCCUGGGAUUUGCAGCGCCACUACGGAGCUAGCGACCGGUGCAGCGGCCGUGGCCAACAUUGCGGGUACCUCUCACCCAUCCUACAUCAACAUCCUAGACUCACAGGAUCGGCGAACGGCGCGGCCAGCGCCCGUUUUCGAAGACGCCGCGAGGCAGUACGAAGAGGGCGAGUACGUCCCAGAGGAGCCGCACCUCCUGCCUGGGCUGCAGAUCCAGCGACGCACCUUCACGCCGGCGGAGCUGCUUGAGCGCUUCGGCGACACGGACAUCAUCUACAGCUUCGUCAACGGCAGCGAGGCGAACCACUGCUACCGCAAAGUCAUGUCGAUGUGGUGCUUACCAAAAAUACGGCACCUGGAAAACGCGACGUACUGGGAGGGCGGUCGCCUCCCUCCUGCGUGGCAGAGCAUGAUGGCGAGCAACACGCCGACGUGCCUGCCUCCCUACCUGCGAAAUGCGUACGCCAACAUUCACUCGACGCGCGACUUCGUCGCCAUGGUGGCGGGUAACGCACGGCCUGGCAUUGGCGAUCGCGAGACGGACGAGCUGCGGCACAGCCUGCGCAGCGUGGAGCAGCACGUGCGGUGGCACCGCGGCCGCGUGGUGAUGGUGUCGCCCGGGCACCACCCGACGUGGGUGGACGGCGCGAAGAACUUCCUUGCUGGGAUGUGCGGCGGUGCGCGCGUGCAGGCGCUGCGGUCGAGCGGGACGCACCUGCGCGUGACGACUGUGCACCAGGACGCCGUGAUGCCGUACGGGAUGCGGCUGACGGUGGACUCGCACGUGAUCGAGCAGCACCUGUGGCGCGUGCGCAACAUGACACCCGUGCACGUGUACAUGAACGACGACUACUUUGUGAACCGCGACGUUGCGAUCACGGACCUGUUCAACGAGUACGGCGGCACGAUUGUGCGGACGGAGAGGGGCAUCCUGCAGAAGGGCGUUCUGGGGCCACCUUCCGGCGGCACCUGGUCGGAAGGUGUUCGUAACACACACUUGUUCAACAUCAUGGAGCUGGACGUGCUGCGCGAGGACUACCUGCCGGAGGCCCUCGAGCGGCAGUGGUCUGCUGAACGGGUGCAGCGUGGGGCCUCUGGCGCGGGCGACCGAGUGCCGCCGAUAGCGCUGAAUGACAUGGUCGAUGCUGCGUACGCGCACGUUCCUGCGUCCAUGCCGCCGACGGCACUGCCGCGUCGCCAUCGCCGAUACGCCACCCACGCGCCGUUCGUGUACUGCACGAACAUGCACCGGUUCCUGCAGACGCGGUACGCGGCGGAGUUUGCCUACAACUCCCUGCAUCACCGAAGGCGAAGCGCCCGAGACCUCUAUGUCCCGUUUGUGUACAACGCCUUUAUCAUGGCGCGGCCGUGGCAGGCGUCGCCGAAGUUCCUGCCGUACCUGCUGGAGCUGCACCGGAGCCGACGACAGGGGCGGGCGGACGCGAUGCCGCCGACGGAGAUCGUGCUGGACAACGUCGACGGCUGCGGCCCCGCAUCGCUUCGCGGCGGCUUUAUGGCCUCCGAGUGCGUGUUUGCCAAGUUCCUAGAUAACACGACUUCGAACGAGGCGGUGGUGGAGCGCGUGCGGCAGGUGAACCCGCUGUACUUCAACAUCAACGCCGGGUUCAGCAGCGCGGAGGCUGCGGACCAGCUGCGCCGCUUCCUGCACGGCAAGUUUCCGACUCCGGUGUACCUGGAGGUGGGCGGAGCCCCGCCCCCCGGCGAGGGCCUCGUAGACGGCGCGGGGGAGGUGGUGGGCGGCAGGACGAGGGCUGCCGGGGCCGCCGCGGCUGCUGAGGAGGAAGCGCUGUCGAGGCUGUUUGGCGACCUGAUGGCGCUGCCGGUGGUGGGCGUUGUGUCGUAUGAGGAGGGCGUGUGCCCGCUUGUGCGGAGCCUUGCGCUUGCGUUCGCGGGGCACCACCGUGGCGGCGUGCGUGUGAGCGUGGAGCAGCACGGCGGCGCGGCGCUGCGUGAGGCGCGCGCUGCGCUUGGGCACAGCGUGGUGAGCGCGAUGCCUGCGCCUGCGUGCGCGUACAAGGAGCAGGUGAGCGUGGACCCCGCGGCACGGGGUGAGAGCGUUGCCGAGAUUGCCCGGCGCGCCAUGGGUGAAAUGCGGGGCGGCGUGGAGCUGCCGUCGACGUGCGGCGCCGGCGGCGCUGGGCUGCGCGUGCACGGGUUCGUGGUGGACGCGCGGACGCGCGGGGCGCCUGUGCGGAGCGCUGCUGCGCUGCGGGACGCGCUUGCGGUGCCUGCGCAGACGCUGUCGCUGGAGGACUUCCGCGCCGUUGCUGUUGGGCCGUCGGAGGGCGACGUGGUGCUGGUUGUGUCGCGCGAGGACGCGGAGGCGAAGGCGGUGCACUGGGUGAAUGGGGCGUCGGAGAGUGACCUGCUUGUGACGUACCCGCUGCCGGUGGAGGCGUACGAGGACAUGGGCGCGGAGGUGCGGUGGUCGGUGCCGUAGUGGUUUCUGUUCUAUGUGUAGCGGGCAAGCGGCGGGAAUCGAGGCGAAGGAUGGCCCGGGAGGUAAUGAGGAGGGGGAUGAUGAAACGGCAGCGCAGUAUUCUAGCACGGAGAGAUGCUGACCGUUUCCGGCUGCGGGCCACUUGCACUCCAGCCUGCACCUUUGCCGCACUUUCCUUGUGGGGACCCACUGAAGUAAUGGAGUGUAUGAGAGCUAUUUUUGUAGGGUGCUUAGUGGACAGGUAUGUAGGUGACUACUGUGUUAAGGCCGGUGCGCAGUCUGUGCGUCUUCGUGACCUCACGCUUGCUGUUGCGCUCCCAGGAUUGCCGGGGGUGUUGGUGAUUUGAUGUGGUGUUGUGCUGAGUAUGCGUGGAAGGGACGAAUGUGCAUCGGUGUGUGGCAUGGCAUAGCCGUGCCGGUUUUGAGCGCGCCACUUGACUGGCAGAGGAAAUUCGAAGGUGGGCGGACGAAAGCUGAACACAGGGCGAUUGCGUUCGCAUGGAUUAGGAGGGCGAUGCCGGACGAAGGCAAGUUAGGUCUGUGUGUGUCUGUGCACGGAGCCGCAUGGGUGCAGGGGAAGGGGGCUGGCACGUUCUCACUCCACUUCUCCCCGCCCCCGCCUCCCAUUCACCCACGUGUUGUCUAAGCCUUUGCGCAGGCUGCGAAUGUCCGGCGAAGGCGGUGCAGCGCUGCCGACCCUCCAAAAACAAUCGCCCGUAGAAUGAGAGUUUGCGAUCAGAAGCGCGACCACACCCCUCGCCUGCCCACCACGCGCUUGUAUGUGCGCGUGUCUGUAGGUAGAGGUGCUCGUCGCCCCCCCCCCUCCUUUAUAUACACACGCACAUAUGUAGUCGAUAUGCACCACAGCCAUAUGCCCAUGAUACGUCGAAGGUAUGCACAUGUAUGCGCAGCGCUUUAUCGCUGUUUUCAGCUUUCCAUUUCUUUCUGAUGAUUUCAUAUCGAAUACGCCAAAGCAUGGUGCGGCCGCGCUGCGCCAUGCAUCAUGCCUUGCUGUCGUUGUUCUUGCAGCCGCGUGGGGUUCCAGAUGAAAAAUGGGGGCGGAGAGGAGGAAAAGAGAAAACACACAAGACGCAUGUUUUGUUUUCGGUUCUCUUGUGCGCUCCUCGCUGGAAGACACAACAUUUGUACGUCGACGUUCUCCGUGAUGCUCGUGGCACCCGCACGUGCGGCCAUGAGCUCUUCGUCCUUUCUUGCUGGAAUAUGCUCGGUACGUUAUCACUGCCUCAUCACUGUUUCAGUGCAGUUCUCACAUCGCUGUUUACUGCCGUCUUGCAUCUCCGUCUGCAUCGCGUUGCCAUCCGCGUUCCACCAAGCGACUUCCCAGUUCCCAGUUUUGUGAAGAAGCAGGCACACCGACAACUUACCCCCUCCCCCGGUGGUUUUGAGCGGGUGGCACUGUCUGCACGGACUGCGCAACAAGAGAGGUACCCACACGAAAAUGUCUAAGUGCACGCGCGACGGCGCAAGAGUGUUUCAUGGCCCGUCUCGCGAGUAGCGUGAUGUCUGCGUGUGCUCUCUCUCACAUGGAGAGAUAUUGGAGUUCUGUUCGACCAGUGUGCCACCGGUGCUACUCCCGUCGCUGCUAGUGGAAUGUGGUGUGGUCCUGGCCACAGGUCUGCCUAAAAGGAUCAAUGCGGCCCGCAAGCGUAGCAGAGACGUGGCCCAACUUGUUCGCUUAAACGUGAAGGAAUGCUUAAAAGCGCUUGCGACUAUCAUGGAGCGCCAGGGAUUGCACAUCACGAUCUUCUUUUACCGUAUACCUCAUUUACCUUUUUUUAACCACUCACGCGGCAAUAAGUAUUUUCAAUUGCGUGGAUCAGAGUGUGUGGCGGCCAUGUCGUGAAGGACCGUGAGGCACCAGUUGCCGUAGGCUCAAGAGGGACCGGAGGAAACAGUGAACCGCUGAUGUUGAUGACUGACAUUGAACCGGGAAGCAUCGCAGCAAGGUCUGCCAACUGGCUGGGUGGCUUCAGGUACACUAUUUAUAAUGCUUUAUGUGUUGGCAUCUGACGUGGCACUGCUUGAUAUGCCGUGGCGUGGCCGCUUGCCGCCGUGUCGCUGCGGUUUUUCUGUGCGGGAUGUAGUGGC